rnacentral:rRNA from 1 species
UACGGGGGGGGGCAAGCGUUGUUCGGAAUUACUGGGCGUAAAGGGCUCGUAGGCGGCCAACUAAGUCGGAUGUGAAAUCCCCAAGCUUAACUUGGGAACUGCAUCCGAUACUGGAUGGCUUGAAUCCGGGAGAGGGAUGCAGAAUUCCAGGUGUAGCGGUGAAAUGCGUAGAUAUCUGGAGGAAUACCGGUGGCAAAGGCGGCAUCCUGGACCGGCAUUGACGCUGAGGAGCGAAAGCUAGGGGAGCAAACAGGG